rnacentral:rRNA from 1 species
AUUGAACGCUGGCGGCAGGCCUAACACAUGCAAGUCGAACGAGUGGCGGACGGGUGCGUAAUGUCUGGGAAACUGCCCGAUGGAAUGGGAUAACUACUGGAAACGGUAGCUAAUACCGCAUACCAUCGGAUGUGCCCAGAUGGGAUUAACUAGUAGGGGGGGUAACGGCUCACUUAGGCGACGAUCCCUAGCUGUUCUGAGAGGAGGACCAGCCACACUGGAACGGCGACACGGCCCAGACUCCUACGGGAGGCAGCAGUGGGGAAGAUUGCACAAGGGGCGCAAGCCUGAUGCAGCCAUGCCGCGUGUAUGAAGAAGGCCUUCGGGUUGUAAAGUACUUUCAGCGAGGAGGCGUUACUCGCAGAAGAAGCACCGGCUAACUCCGUGCCAGCCGCCGCGGUAAUAC